rnacentral:rRNA from 1 species
UUUCAUGAGGGUUUGAUCCUGGCUCAGGACGAACGCUGGCGGCGCGCCUUACGCAUGCAAGUCGAACGGACCUUCGGGUUAGUGGCGGACGGCUGAGUAACGCGUAGGUAACCUACCCAGUGGUGGGGAAUAACUUGCCGAAAGGCAAGCUAAUACCGCAUAAGUUCCCGGUUUGAAAUGGCCGGGAGGAAAGCAUUUAUGCGCCACUGGAGGGGCCUGCGUCCUAUCAGGUAGUUGGUGGGGUAACGGCCUACCAAGCCGAUGACGGGUAGCUGGUCUGAGAGGACGAUCAGCCAGAAGGGGACUGAGACACGGCCCCUACUCCUACGGGAGGCAGCAGCGAGGAAUCUUGGGCAAUGGGCGAAAGCCUGACCCAGCGACGCCGCGUGAGGGAUGAAGGCCUUCGGGUCGUAAACCUCUUUUGUGAGGGAAGAAGUUCUGACGGUACCUCACGAAUAAGCCACGGCUAACUACGUGCCAGCAGCCGCGGUAAUACGUAGGUGGCGAGCGUUGUCCGGAUUUACUGGGCGUAAAG